rnacentral:pre_miRNA from 1 species
ACUCCCUCCGUUGCACAAUACAUGCCUUCUAUUUGUCAAAAUAUAUAUGUAUCUAGACAUGUUUUAGUAUAUAGGUACAUCCAUUUUUGGACAAAUGGAAGUCAAGUAUUUUGGAACGGAGGGAGUACACA